CUUAUUGAAGCCUAAAUAAAGUUUUCUUAACAUUUGCAGGUCCCCCAAGCUUCCUGGAAUCUCACCUGUCAGAAUAUUAUGUUCCAAAGCAAGAUAUUCUAACUUGGCCAAUUCUCCAAUCUCUUUAGGUAGGAAGAAGAAAAUUUGUGAAGCAAAUUGAGUGCAGUUUAUGAUUGAAGUGAUACUCACCUUGAAGACUGGCCAUUCUUCCAAUCUCAGGAGGUAUAGCCCCAGAAAGAUUGUUGAAAUCCAGAUACAAUUGAGUCAACUCAGUGAGAUUCCCAAGCUCUCUUGGAAUCUCCCCAUUCAACUUGUUGUAAUGCAAGUAGAGACCAGACAUGCACUUGAGCUCCGCCAGCGCGGGCGACAGUUUUCCGGUGAGCUCCAUGGCCGGCAGCGAAAUGUUACCCACCUUGUGGUGCUCAUUGCAAACCACCCCCAAAAAGGACCCACUGCACGGAUCACCACCACUGGUCCAGGAAGAAAGAAGCCUGUUUUCUGGGUCCAGUGACGCCUUUAUCUCCAUUAAAGCUCUCAGCUCUGCAUUCGCACUAGCAUAAGAAAAUCCAAGAAAUAGAAGAAGCCAAAUGCAGAGAAGAUGUGAAACCAUUUCUGGGUUUUCGUCGCAACCUUUUUUUAACUUCUGCUCUGCAAUUUCGAGAAAGAUUAGCAAGUGUUGGGGAGUUUUCUCGGGGGUGAGAGAAAGCGCAUGUCAGACCCUCACAGAGGCAGAGAUAGAGAUAGAGAGAGAGAUGAACGUAUACCGUGGGAUAAAGGGCGUAUGGUGUACGACUUUUGCGCGUACAAGCUGACACAUGCAUGCACAUUCUUGAAUCACUAUACCCUUUUUUCAAUCAUUUCCUCCCCAUUUCUGCAGUAUUUUUUGGGACACAAGACUAUAAACUACUGCAAACUUUAAAGCA